UCCCUCAUAGCUCAAUUGGUAAAGAAUAUAUGCCUGCAAUGCAUAAGACCUGGGUUCAAUUCCUAGGUCGGGAA
rnacentral:tRNA from 1 species